GGGGCGAUAGUCUAGUAGUAUGAUUUCUAUUUCGCAUCUUUUACGAAGUUGCUUCCUACAGAAGGCCCCGCGUUCAAUCCGCGGUCGCUCCG